rnacentral:rRNA from 1 species
UGCAGUCGAACGGUAAGGCCCUUCGGGGUACACGAGUGGCGAACGGGUGAGUAACACGUGGGUGAUCUGCCCUGCACUUUGGGAUAAGCCUGGGAAACUGGGUCUAAUACCGGAUAGGACCACGGACUGCAUGGUCUGUGGUGGAAAGCUUUUGCGGUGUGGGAUGGGCCCGCGGCCUAUCAGCUUGUUGGUGGGGUGAUGGCCUACCAAGGCGACGACGGGUAGCCGGCCUGAGAGGGUGUCCGGCCACACUGGGACUGAGAUACGGCCCAGACUCCUACGGGAGGCAGCAGUGGGGAAUAUUGCACAAUGGGCGCAAGCCUGAUGCAGCGACGCCGCGUGGGGGAUGACGGCCUUCGGGUUGUAAACCUCUUUCAGCAUCGACGAAGCGCAAGUGACGGUAGAUGCAGAAGAAGCACCGGCCAACUACGUGCCAGCAGCCGCGGUAAUACGUAGGGUGCGAGCGUUGUCCGGAAUUACUGGGCGUAAAGAGCUCGUAGGUGGUUUGUCGCGUUGUUCGUGAAAACUCACAGCUUAACUGUGGGCGUGCGGGCGAUACGGGCAGACUGGAGUACUGCAGGGGAGACUGGAAUUCCUGGUGUAGCGGUGGAAUGCGCAGAUAUCAGGAGGAACACCGGUGGCGAAGGCGGGUCUCUGGGCAGUAACUGACGCUGAGGAGCGAAAGCGUGGGGAGCGAACAGGAUUAGA